rnacentral:rRNA from 14 species
UAGCUUCACAGUGGACUUUGAAUUUAUUUGUGUAGGAUAGGUGGGAGACUUUGAAGCGUGAUCGCUAGAUUGCGUGGAGUCAACCUUGAAAUACCACCCUGGUAGUGUUGGGGUUCUAACUUAGGCCCAUGAUCUGGGUUGAGGACAAUGUGUGGUGGGUAGUUUGACUGGGGCGGUCUCCUCCCAAAGAGUAACGGAGGAGCACGAAGGUACCCUAAUGACGGUCGGAAAUCGUCAGUUUAGUGCAAAGGCAUAAGGGUGCUUGACUGCGAGAGUGACAACUCGAGCAGGUACGAAAGUAGGUCUAAGUGAUCCGGUGGUUCUGUAUGGAAGGGCCAUCGCUCAACGGAUAAAAGGUACUCCGGGGAUAACAGGCUGAUACCGCCC